UACGUAGGGGGCAAGCGUUGUCCGGAAUCAUUGGGCGUAAAGAGCGUGUAGGCGGCUUGGCAAGUCUCGCGUGAAAUCCUGCGGCUCAACCGCAGGCGGUCGCGGGAACUGCCUCGCUAGAGUCCGGAAGAGGAGAGUGGAAUUCCGUGGAUGUAGCGGUGGAAUGCGCAGAUAUCAGGAAGAACACCCGUGGCGAAGGCGG
rnacentral:rRNA from 1 species